rnacentral:rRNA from 1 species
AGAGUUUGAUCCUGGCUCAGGAUUAACGCUAGCGGCAGGCCUAAUACAUGCAAGUCGAGGGGCAGCAGGUGUAGCAAUACAUGCUGGCGACCGGCGCACGGGUGCGUAACACGUAUGCAAUCUUCCCUUAACUAGUGAAUAGCUUUGAGAAAUCAGAAUUAAUACACUAUAACACUGCGAAACGGCAUCGUUUUGCAAUU